GCUGAUGAUGAUAUAAUCCAAUUAAAUUAGGUGUAGUGGAUACAAGUCCCUGCUUUGCAGGGUGAACCUCUUGUUGAAACUACAUUACAAAUGAUAAUAUUGGAUUCUCCUGAGGC